rnacentral:rRNA from 1 species
UACGGAGGGGGCUAGCGUUGUUCGGAAUUACUGGGCGUAAAGCGCACGUAGGCGGCUUUGCAAGUUAGAGGUGAAAGCCCAGGGCUCAACUCCGGAAUUGCCUUUAAAACUGCAUCGCUAGAAUUGUGGAGAGGUAAGUGGAAUUCCGAGUGUAGAGGUGAAAUUCGUAGAUAUUCGGAAGAACACCAGUGGCGAAGGCGACUUGCUGGACACAUAUUGACGCUGAGGUGCGAAAGCGUGGGGAGCAAACAGG